AUACAAUUUAGAAUUACUUUGUAAUUAUUGUUUAAAGAAGGUUUAUAUUAGUGACUUAGAAUUUAUGCAAUACAAUUAGAGCUAGUACUCUCAGCUAGUUUGUACAAUUGGUGUCACAUCUAUAGUUUAAAAUUUAAAAGUACUUGAUUGAUUGAGUGUGCUAAGUGUGUGUAAAAUUUUAUAUUAAUAUAAUAGUGCAAUUGAGAGAUAUCUAAGUUUUGGUAUAAGAAGGUAUUAAAGAAAAGAAGUCUAAAAGCUACAAACACUUAGCA
rnacentral:lncRNA from 1 species